rnacentral:rRNA from 1 species
GACGAACGCUGGCGGCGUGCUUAACACAUGCAAGUCGAGCGGAAAGGCCACUUCGGUGGUACUCGAGCGGCGAACGGGUGAGUAACACGUGAGUAAUCUGCCCCUGGCUUUGGGAUAGCCACCGGAAACGGUGAUUAAUACCGGAUAUGACCACUUCACGCAUGUGAUGGUGGUGGAAAGUUUUUCGGCCAGGGAUGUGCUCGCGGCCUAUCAGCUUGAUGGUGAGGUAAUGGCUCACCAUGGCUUCGACGGGUAGCCGGCCUGAGAGGGUGACCGGUCACACUGGGACUGAGACACGGCCCAGACUCCUACGGGAGGCAGCAGUGGGGAAUAUUGGACAAUGGGCGGAAGCCUGAUCCAGCAACGCCGCGUGAGGGAUGACGGCCUUCGGGUUGUAAACCUCUUUCAGUACCGACGAAGCGCAAGUGACGGUAGGUACAGAAGAAGCACCGGCCAACUACGUGCCAGCCGCCGCUGUAACAC